rnacentral:lncRNA from 1 species
CCGCCCACGCGGUCUUCCAGCGCACUGUGACGCCACAGCGCGCCGUCGCCGUGACGUAGCGGCGGCGUGACGCAGGCACGCAGAGGGGUGCGCUGUUCAGUGUUUAUGCUGAGUUAAAUCAACUGAAUGUUCUUCAUCUGUGACGGGCUGUUUUGAGGAUUUUUAUGUGCUGAGGUAAUAUGUCAUUUAUGGAAGUAGUUUAAUGUUUUAAAUGUUUAUAUAUAUAAAAAUGGUGAUAGUUUUAUAUUUUUAUUUGCAUCUAAUGAGAUGCAUGUUGUCAGGCCAUGAGGAUGGUGAAGAAAUGGUGAAAAUACCAUGUUCAUCUGGAAGGUAUUUUAGCUAAAAACAUUACUGCAAUUACAAUUUUAGAAACUUACAGAAUUUUAAAAAUAAGUAAUCAAAUCAGGAAUGUGUUAACUUCAUCAGUUAUUUUAGAAAUAUUGAUUCAAAUAUGUAUGACUGUAAUUUCUAAUCUAAUGUACUGUUAGUGUAUGGUAAGCCUCAGAGGAAAUGCCAUUGUGUUUGAUCGGUUGAGAACAAACGGAUUUUAUUAGGAUUAUCAUUAGGGUAUUUACUGCUUUCUAAAAUUUGUACUUCUGUGUUUCUCAUUUAAUAUAAUUUUUGUCCUUUCCUAAAUAUAUUUCCUGAGAUAUUGAGACUUUUGUUUUUUGUUUUCCUUAAAACAGGAAUUAAGAUGGAUGAAAGGUUUUAUUGGCCGUAGCAGCAACAAGAUGUGUAAGAUGAUGUCCUGUAUAUUAUAUGGCAAAUGGCUUACCAUUUUGAACAAAAGACUAUUUUAUGUUGCUUCUGGAUGCUAGCCAAUCAAGCAGUGUCACCAAAGCUAGGUGUUUGCUGAGAUUGGAAGUUUUCAAGACCCAACUGGACAAAGACCUAAGCAACCUAGUCUCAGCUCAGUGUUCACCCUGCUUUGAGCAGGAGGGUUGGACUGGAUGA